rnacentral:rRNA from 1 species
UCCUACGGGAGGCAGCAGUAGGGAAUCUUCCACAAUGGGCGAAAGCCUGAUGGAGCAAUGCCGCGUGAGUGAAGAAGGUUUUCGGAUCGUAAAACUCUGUUGUUGAAGAAGAACAUGCGUGAGAGUAACUGUUCACGUAC